rnacentral:lncRNA from 1 species
GGGGCCCAGUAUUGGCAGAGGGAGUGUUGGGGUCAUGUCUAACCCUGAGGGGAAGGACGUUUCGCGAACCCUCUAAAAUCACCUGCUAGGGGAAGAGAAUGCUAGCGUGAACUCUAGCGGGGAAGAGAUUAUUGUUGUGCAAUGUUUGUGAGAUGAUGCAUUUCAUGAAAGCAUAUGAUUUAUGAACUAUUUUAUGGAAACAUCAACAUCAUUACUCAUGAAAUAAACCAUGUACAAAUGGGAUUAACAACAAACUACGGUCAAGCACAUAUACUAAACCUCAAUGACAUACAUUACAUUACAUAACUGUUAAACACUUUACAUUACAUAAUUUCUCAUGUCCACUUCUAACUACUCUAUUACAUAAUCAACUUUACUCUUCUUGACUUCCUGGUCUAGCCCGAACCUGCAAACCUGGGGGAUUAGGGAGAGGGGUGAGCUACUAGAGCCCAGUGAGCAGAAUACUAAAACAUAUCAUAAUUUAAUUCAUGCUGUAAUGAAAAUGCAUCACAUCACAAACAUUACACAUCAAGAGUGAACUUGUCACCAAUAGCCCUCAAUACUUUCCAAUAGUGCCAGGGAGGUGUAGAAUGGGCUUCCCUGGUCUUUCUCUUACUCAUACUCAUAUACAUAACAUUUCCAAUAAUGCCAAGGAGGCGUAGAAUGGGCUUCCUUGGUCUUUCUCUUACUCUGUGCCAGGGAGGCGUAGAAUGGGCUUCCCUGGUCUUUCCAACCGAUACAUAUCAUACUCUGGUGAGGACUAAAGGAUCAUUCAAUAUUCACCCACAUCAACAAUCCAAAAUGCAAUGCAACAUAUUCGUGAUUUCUAAUGCAAACAUCCUAAAUAAGCUCAUGGUAUUCAUGAUGCAUGAAUCAUGCUGUUACAUUCAUUAAUUUACUUUUUAAAACAUAAAGAGUUAAUUUCACUCACCUCUAGCUAGCUCUGACCAGACACUGCAGCUGACUCACUGCUGGGGGCCUCGGUUCCUCGGGUCCGAACCUACACAGGUGGACUGAAAUGAGGGACCAAACAUACAAAGACAUGACUCUAAAAUACUCCCCAAAAACCCCCCUAAAACAUCACAAGAACAUCAUAGAAAACAUGCAUGAAAUGGCUGGACAGGGCACUUUCGGCGGCAGGUUCGGCGGCCGAAAGUCCCUCCAGAGCCGAAAGUCAUGCAGGUUCGGCGGCACUUUCGGCGGCCGAAACUGCCCUCCAGAGACGAAAGUUCUCUUUCGGGGGCAGGCUUCGGCAGCCGAAACUGCCUCCACAAGGGGGUUCGGCGGCCGAAGGAACCUUCGACGGCCGAACCUGAGUUUCUGCCAAAGGGCAGAAAGUCAACUUCCCCCUUGCACAAAGCCUAAAAACAAUCCCAAUCAUGCAUAAAUCCUAUUCUACAACAUGCAUUCUCAAGCAUACAAGCUCCUAGGGGUCUCCAACUAACUUAAACCCCAACUACAACACAUCAAACACAUACAAAUCAACCUACAUUGCUCAAACAUUCAAAAAUGGCCAAAAAUUCAACAUGCCUCCUAACAUGCAUUUCUACCCAUAAAAUCAACUUAAAACUUUCUUUUCAACAUAAAUGAGCUAGAGAUCGGCUCUUACCUCUUGGAGAUCGAGGGAGAGACGACCAAAACUUGGAGAUGGGGGAGAUCAAACUCUUGGGUCUCCAAAGCUUGCUCAAAGUUCACAAUACUUCAAAAACAAGUUGAAACUCAUUAAAUCUUGCAAGAUUUGAGGAAAAAUCAUUAAAAAUGAACCAAGGGAGAGUAGGGACUCACCGUGGCCGAAAAUGGGGAGAAAACUCGCCCGUUUGGGCCAUGGAGCCCUUAUAUAGGGGCUGCCUGACCACCUUUCGGCAGCCGAACGUGCCCCCUAAUCUCAUGCAAGUUCGGCGGCCGAACAUGAGGUUCGGCGGCCAAACCUGAGAAAAUUUUCGGAAGCAUAACUAGCCUCCCAAACUAUCCAACGUUCGGCGGCCGAACAUGGGGAUUCGGCGGCCGAACCUGGAAAUACUUCCUUGGUCCUUUUCCUUCAAAACUCAAUUUAAAUCUUACUUAAAAACAUGAAAUACAUUAAAAAAUUUUAGAAAAACAUAAUUUUACCCUUCUAGAGGUCUCCGACAUCCGAGAUCCCACCGGACGGUAGGAAUUCCGAUACCGGAGUCUAGCCAGGUAUUACAAUAUCAGUGCAUACUCCCCUUUGCCUAGGGAACAAUCAAGUGAAAUGAGAAGGUGGAUGUUAGCAGGAGGUCUUGAGAGAUCUUUUGAGGUGAAUAGGAGAGAGUCAGAACCAGGAUGGAGAUCAGUGGAAGUGAGGAAUGUAGGAAGGAAUGAGCAGCAUAGAGUUGAGGGCAUGGAUAUAGAUGUGUCAGUGGAAGAGGGUUAUGGAGAGAGGCGAGAGGAAGCACAGACAAUAGGUUCUGCAAACUCAUUAGCAGAAGGAACUGCUUCUUUAGUUCAGAGUUUAGCUACAUCAAAGAGAAAGAGAGGAAAGAAACCUUCUAGGUGGGUAAGAAGAAUGAGGAGAUUAGAGAGAGAGGGUCAGGGUGUAGCUGGUAAUGUUAACCCAAGAGUGGGGGUUGAUCCAUGCACAACAUGUGGAAGGCGGCAUCAGGGAGUGUGUCGUCGUGGGACUACAGCAUGCUAUAGGUGUGGUCAGGAAGGCCACUACAUUCGACAGUUUCCCAUUGCACCUAGGAGGGUGCAAACUCAGCAGAGAGUUCUAGGUGGCUUAGUUCAGCCACAGGGAAGAGACAGAGGCAGAUAGGCAGGUCCGUCAGAACCAAUGGUGCCAGGUACUUUUAUUUUUGUGUUCUGAUGUGUGUUUUAGUGAGUUCUGGUGCUCCUUUUUCCUUAGUUGCUCCGUGAGCUAUUGAGGGGUUGGUCGAUGACUUCUAGGUUAGGCUGUCCUCUGUAGGUCAGUGGACCUAAGUAUGAUCCAUCUGAGGCAGAGUUAGUCUGCCAGUUCAGUGUUGUUUAAUGUAAAUUAUGUCCACCCGAUCUCGUGGUCUUAGGACUGGAUUGUCUAGACGUCACUAUCGAAGUGGACUCGGUUUCUACCUGUGGUACUACUUUGGUCAGUAGUGACAAAGUUGUCAGGUUCAGAGGAUAGGAUGGAUCAGUGGUAGUAGUCAGAAGGGACAGAGUGGAAUGCUUAGAAGUCUGAUGACAGCCUGGCAGGCUCGUACGGUGCAUAGGAAGGGUGGCCAGAGGGUUUUAGCUUUUGGCUAAGAGAGAUUAGCAAGCAGAUUAGAGGAUCAGAUUUAGUAUCAGUGAUUAGAGAGCUAUUUGAGGUUUUUCAGAUAAGUUGUCAGGUUUUUACCUGUUGGUUAGAGAUAGAGAGGAAAUAGAAGUAAUGAUUGGAGACAGAAAAAGGUGUUAGGGAAUAGAUUGAUUUCUAUUCUUUUAUGAGAUAGUAUAAGAGGAGUAUAGAAGUGAAGGAAUAAUGAGAGUAUGGUAAGUAUGAAUAGAUUAAGACUUAAGAUGAAUGUUAUCUCUUUGGAGAUUAUGACAAAGUAGUAGGAUGAGAUAAUAAAGAAAGAAAGAGAAGAAGACAGAAAGGAAAGGAAGAAGAAUUAUAAGAGUUGUGUUAUAAAGUAAUAGUUUGGUUUGGAGUUAGAGUAAUGGGAUUAUAAGUCAUGAUUGAGGUAUUAAGGAAAAGAUCAUAGUAGCGCAGAGGAAGCAUAGUGAGUUUUAGGAGGUGAUUGAAGCAUAAUGGUUAAGUAUGAGAACAGAGUAUGAGAAUGAUUGGAGAUUUGAGAGUUGUGUCAGAUCCAAGUACAGAUAAAAUGGACCAGAGGUGGUGAUCAUAGAGGAUCUCACCUAAGUUAAACAAUAGGAUGGAUCUUGGACACUAGUCAGAGAGAGUUUUGAUGUUUUAAUGCUAUACGUCCAAUUUUGUUUUUCCCUUUUUGUGGAACAUUCGGGGACGAAUGUUCUUAAAGGGGGGAAGAAUGUAAUACCCGGCUAGAGUGGGGCCUGGAGUUCCGGUGUUCCGACGGAAUCUCAGGUGCCGGUUUUUUCUAGAAAGGUAAAAUGUAUGUUUUCAAAGUGUUUUCAAAGGUUUUAAAGUAUUUUAAAUGGAUUUUAAGUAUUAAAGGAAUUGAGUUUUGGCAAGAAUUUCAUUGAGGAGAAUUGACAGGUUCGGCCGCAGAAAGUGGACUUUCGGUCGCCGAACUUUGCAUGGAUUGGGAGGCACAUUCGGCUGCCGAAGGUGGUCUGGCCAGCCACUAUAUAAGGGGGCCUUAGGUCGGUCAAGGGGUAGGUUUUCCGACUCCCAGCCGCCUCAGGUUCGUCUCCUUCCUUCCUCAUAUGAUUUCUAUGCUUUUCUUUGAAUCUUUGAGAGUUUUACAAAGAUUUAUGAAAGUUUUGAAGGUUUUGAGCAAAAAGAUGAGGUUUUGAAAAGGGUGAUGAUUUGGAGAGGGUUUUCUCCAUUUUUUCACGUUAGGGUCUUCCAUCCUUUUGUUUACAAGAGGGUUAUGGAGAUUUCUAACAUGUUUUCAUGAUUUAUGAAGGUUUUAAGGAGUUUUCAUGGUUAGUUGUAUGUUUUGAGCUUUUGAGGGUUUUAUGGUGUUUAUGUGCUAUUUGAUGUUUUGAGUGUUGUUUGUUGGGGUUGUAGACUAGUUUUAGACCCCUUUGAGCAUAUAUAAGUAUAUAUGCAAGUUGUGGUGUGUUUAGUGCAUGUUUGAGCAAGAUUGGGGGAGUUUGUGCACAAGUUGAGCAAGUUUCUGCCCUGUGGCAGAAACCAGGUUCGGCCGCUGAAGGAGGGUUCGGCCGCCGAACGUGCUGAGGAGGUGGCUUCGGCUGCCUAAGCUCGCUCCCGAAGGUUUGGACUUUCGGCUCUAGAGUGGAGUUUCAGCCGCCGAAGGUGCCGCCGAAGGUUGUGGACUUUCGGUUCUGGAGUGCCUUCAGCCCCCGAACCUUGCCCCGAAAGGACUUUCGGCCGCCGAAAUGAGAGGUUCGGCCGCCGAAAGUAGGCGACUUUCGUCUCUGGAGAGGGCUUUCGGCCGCCGAACCUGCCGCCGAAAGUGCCCUGUCCAGCCUUUUUUUGCAUGCCUUAUGUGAUUGUUUUAGGAUGUUUUAGGGGGGUUUAUGGGGAGUUUCUAGAGAUGUUAAUAAGCUAGUUUAGACCCUCACUCGUGUCCAUUUGUGUAGAUUUGGACCCGAGGAUUUGAGUUGCAGUUUCAGAGUCAGUUGUUGAACAUCAGCCUAAGGUGAGUGGAACUAACCUUUACAUUUUAAAUUAAAUGAUUCAGCAUGCCUCAUGCAUCAUGAUAUUUAUAGGGUGCUUGCACUAGAAAGCACGAAGAUGACGCAUUGCAUAAAAUGCUGAUUAUGUGAUGAGAUGGGUGGACCAAGGCGACCCCAAUAGCCCACAGGUCUGUCACUGCGUCUUUGUCAGUCGGGCAAGUACAUGUAGGAAAACGCUGUGUAACCUCCAUCGGGGGUCCAGUAUUGGCAGAGGGAGUGUUGGGGUCAUGUCUAAACCUGAGGGGAAGGACGUUUCGCGAACCCUCUAAAAUCACCCGCUAGGGGAAGGGAAUGCUAGCGUGAACUCUAGCGGGGAAGAGAUUAUUGUUGUGCAAUGUUUGUGAGAUGAUGCAUUUCAUGAAAGCAUAUGAUUUAUGAACUGUUUUAUGUGUUUCUACUCACUGGGCUCUAGUAGCUCACCCC